CUGGGUGGAUUAGUGGCGAACGGGUGAGUAACACGUGAGUAACCUGCCCUUAACUCUGGGAUAAGCCUGGGAAACUGGGUCUAAUACCGGAUAGGAGCGUCCACCGCAUGGUGGGUGUUGGAAAGAUUUAUCGGUUUUGGAUGGACUCGCGGCCUAUCAGCUUGUUGGUGAGGUAAUGGCUCACCAAGGCGACGACGGGUAGCCGGCCUGAGAGGGUGACCGGCCACACUGGGACUGAAACACGGCCCAGACUCCUACGGGAGGCAGCAGUGGGGAAUAUUGCACAAUGGGCGCAAGCCUGAUGCAGCGACGCCGCGUGAGGGAUGACGGCCUUCGGGUUGUAAACCUCUUUCAGUAGGGAAGAAGCGAAAGUGACGGUACCUGCAGAAGAAGGACCGGCUAACUACGUGCCAACAGCCGCGGUAAUACGUAGGGUGCGAGCGUUAUCCGGAAUUAUUGGGCGUAAAGAGCUCGUAGGCGGUUUGUCGCGUCUGUCGUGAAAGUCCGGGGCUUAACCCCGGAUCUGCGGUGGGUACGGGCAGACUAGAGUGCAUAGGGGAGACUGGAAUUCCUGGUGUACGGUGGAAUGCGCAGAUAUCGGGAGGAACACCGAUGGCGAACGCUGUCUCUGGGCUGUACUGACGCUGAGGAGCGAAAGCUGGGGAGCGAACAGGAUUAGAUACCCUGGUAGUCCUGCCGUAUACGUUGGGCACUAGUGUGGGGACAUUCCACGGUUUCCGCGCCCUAGCUAACGCAUUAAUG
rnacentral:rRNA from 1 species